GCCUUCGGGCGCGGUGUAUUUUAAAUACACCUCUUAAAUUUUUAACUUUAUGGCCUAUGGUAAGAUGAUAAUAUACUGGUAAGAGCUCCUAGUAGCUAAAGCCAGCAGUAAAGAUAUGAUCCAAGAGCUGAUGUGUUAAUUUACAGCAGACAUUGAGCGACGGCAUUGCUUUCUGUGUUUCGAGCGUCAUUAUUGACUUCACGCGACCAGUGAGGACAGAGUCGGUCUUGGAAGCUGUGGAUUCUAGUGGUUUAGUCGCAUGCUUUGUUUGGGAAUUUGUGGAGUUUUGCAGGAAGUGAAGAAAUAACUGUAGUAUGUUCUAUUUCUCGAGAAAUGAAGAAAUAUGAAGAAAAUGGGUAAUUGAUUCUUAUCCAUUGGAAUGUAUUCCGAGCACAGGAGCAUGCACUUUUGAAUUACUUGCAGCUCAUGAAAACUUAACAGUAAAGCCACCGUAUAACCAUGCGCUAGAAAAAAAAGCCUCCCUUUUCUGCAGUGCAACUCAAGUUUCGGUGGAUUUUUACAUGGACAUAACUUUUUCCCUUGUCCCCAAGUAAAUUUCUUUAUGUUACUUUUAUUAAUUUUGUCAUGUAAUUCUUUAAUGUGGUGUUUCUGUUUUAACUAAAUUUAUUUUAUUAAAUGUACAAAAUUUUCAAAGCUAAAUUUUGUCAGUUACUUACAAUUUUUUGCUAGCCAGUAAAACAAUGUUGGCAAGAUUUAACUAAAGUUUCUGU